rnacentral:rRNA from 1 species
UACGUAGGGUGCGAGCGUUAAUCGGAAUUACUGGGCGUAAAGUGUGCGCAGGCGGGCCGCGCAAGUCGAGUGUGAAAUCCCCGAGCUUAACUUGGGAAUUGCGCUCGAAACUACGUGGCUGGAGUGUGGCAGAGGAAGGUGGAAUUCCACGUGUAGCGGUGAAAUGCGUAGAGAUGUGGAGGAACACCGAUGGCGAAGGCAGCCUUCUGGGCCAACACUGACGCUCAUGCACGAAAGCGUGGGGAGCAAACAGG